AAGAGAGUGAAGUCAAACUCCCUCUGGGUUUCUUGUACUCAGCUCUGUGUUCACUCUGGCAGGACAAUGCUUCCUUCAGCUUGUUUAUGUGUCACUCAGAGGCUAAAACAUGUUUCAUACUUUUUUUUUAUCGUAAAGACAUCUAACCUCAAAGUUGCAUAAUACCUUUAACAAAAUUCAUGCAGCUCUCAUUGGAGCUAUGAAAGGAUUCAUCCAACGUUUUUUCAUAAUUUCAGAAAACCAUGCUAACCACUUUUGAUGUCACAAUUGUUAAGUUACAAAUAAACAACUAGUCUAGUAAAAGACCAAAAAACAAAA